rnacentral:rRNA from 1 species
GACGAACGCUGGCGGCGUGCUUAACACAUGCAAGUCGAACGGAAAGGCCCUGCUUUUGUGGGUUGCUCGAGUGGCGAACGGGUGAGUAACACGUGAGUAACCUGCCCUUGACUUUUGUAUAACUUCACGAAACUGGGGCUAAUCCCGGAUAGGAGCUCCUGCUGCAUGGUGGGGGUUGGAAAGUUUCGGCGGUUGGGGAUGUACUCGCGGCUUAUCAGCUUGUUGGUGGGGUAGUGGCUUACGAAGGCUUUGACGGGUAGCCGGCCUGAGAGGGUGACCGGCCACAUUGGGACUGAGAUACGGCCCAGACGCGUACGGGAGGCAGCAGUGGGGAAUAGUGCACAAUGGGCGGAAGCCUGAUGCAGCAACGCCGCGUGCGGGAUGACGGCCUUCGGGUUGUAAACCGCUUUCGCCUGUGACGAAGCGUGAGUGACGGUAAUGGGUAAAGAAGCACCGGCUAACUACGUG